rnacentral:rRNA from 1 species
UGCUUUAUACAUGCAAGUCGAACGAAGGCCCUAGCUUGCUAGGUGUCCUUAGUGGCGCACGGGUGAGUAACACGUGGGAACAUACCUCAUAGUACGGAAUAACUGCGGGAAACUGUAGCUAAUACCGUAUAUUCCAGAAAUGGGAAAGAUUUAUCGGUUAAAGAUGGGCAUGCGUCUGAUUAGUUUGUUGGUAAGGUAACGGCUUACCAAGACUACGAUCAGUAGGGGGUCUGAGAGGAUGAUCCCCCACACUGGUACUGAGACACGGACCAGACAUCUACGGAUGGCAGCAGUAAGGAAUAUUGGGCAAUGGGCGCAAGCCUGACCCAGCCAUGCCGCGUGCAGGAUGACGACCCUAUGGGUUGUAAACUGCUUUUAUAUAGGAAGAAAAUACUCUUGCGAGAGGAUCUGACGGUACUAUAUGAAUAAGGA